rnacentral:lncRNA from 1 species
AAAUGGAAUGGUCAUGGUACAUCUUCAGUAAGGUCAAACACUAUAAACGAAAGAGGUUUGGGGGACAAUUUUUGAGGCUUACACACACAAAAAAGCUUUUUUUUUUUUCUCUUGAAUUAAGGGAGACAAGUUCCAAAAAUGUGUUAGCAUAUCAAACAGAAAAUAGUUUGUAGAAGCUGGACUUGUUCCACCAGUCCUGCCUGCCUCCUCACUGGAUGCUCAACCUGCCUCCUUAUUACUGUUAAGCCAGCCUGCCUCCCAGUAUGUUUUGCAUCCAUCUGACUUCCACAGAGUUCGAGAGAGCUUAGGACAAACAGAACAGGGGAGCAGCUGCACGGCAAUAAGUGGUGGCAGCCAGAUAAUCUACUAUGAUGUCUUGUUGAAAAAAAUUUGGGACAGCAUAAUUCCCCCAACUUGCCACAACUUUUGCCUGGAAAAUGCAAGUCAAAUGUGACAUGCAAAUUCGAUUGCUGCUUGGCAUUUGUUUUUCUUUUUAACGAUGUGCACAGAAGGGGAAAAAAUAGUGGAAUGCUAGGGGAAAGUAAAAUUAUAAAUUGCUUAGAUCUGAUUAAAAAAUUACGUAUCAGAAAUUAUUUUUAAAAUAACAAUGACUUGUUGGUAACAUAUUUUCCCACCAGUCAUGUGGUGUCUCAACAGAUAUCUGCCACUAAGUCUGCUUGAUUUCCACAAAUGAUAUGCUUCUGCUUUUCCCAUGUUAUGUAAGCUGUUUCUUCUACUGAGAAAGCUUUUACUCUCUCAGCCUACCUGUAUUUUACCAUCUGUCCAAGUGAAGUCUUAUAGCCUCUGCAGUAACUUCAAAUACCAGCCAUCUCCUACCACCGAACACUCCAAUCGUCAGAAGAGUGAAUAACACAAUGAAUACAUCAUAUGCAGGCCAGAGCCAGCCAGUCUGGCUUUAAAUUCUGAUUUGUCCAUGCCUCAAUUUCCCCAUUGUGAGAAUGGGACAGUAAUAGUUCCUGCCUUACCAAGUUGUUGUGUGCAUUAGAACAAAGUCUGACAGGUAGUUGACAUGCAUACAAUAGUAUGCGUUAAGUAAACCAAAUGCAAUCAAUAUGAUCAAAUUUAAAAGAAUCAAAUCAGGCAAUGAUUUAUUGAAUAACCAUGACAAAUCAUAGUGUAGGUGCUAUAGAUAAAUCCCAUGUCUUUAAAAAAGGUUGUAAUCUACUAUAGGACCUAAGACAAGUGUACCUAUAAUAAUUAUUAUUUUUUAAAGAUUUUAUUUAUUUAUUUGAGAGAGAGAGAACAACAUGCAAGCAGGGUAAGGGGCAGAGGGAGAGAGAAUCUCAAGCAGACUUCCCCCUGAAUGUGGAAGCUAGCCGUGGGGCUUCAUCUCAGGACCCUGAGAUCAUGACCUGAGCUGAAACCAGAAAUCCGAUGCUUAACUGAUUGAGCCAGCCAGGCCCCUACAAAUAAUUGUUAAAUAAAAAAGGAUGAAUAUUCAAAAUUUCCCAAGAGUGAAUUCCAAAAGAAAAUGUCUAAAGUAUAAUUGAAAUUCAUAGAAAAAUGAAGUUGCAAUUAGUUGAGGAAAUGCUAAAAGAUUAAUGUAGAAUGACAUCAGAUAUGAUUCUUUGAGAAUUACUAAUAUUUUAAUAAUGAGAUAAUGUAUGAGUCAGAGAGAUAAAUGGAAUGGAACUGAUACUUCAUGAACAGUAAAAAUUGUGUACAAUAAAGUAUUGCCUUGACUCUACAGAUAUCAUCCUUACACCUACAUGAAAAGUGCCAGACAGCACAGGAGUCAAGAGUGCAAGCUUGGGGCAUGCAGUCAGCUGGGCUGAACUCAGGUUCUGUUCCCGUACUUCCCAGCACUGUCAUCAUAGGUUAGAUACUUAAAGAUCCCAGGUUUUGUUCUUCAUCUCUAAAACAGGAUGCUAGUAACAGUAUUAUCUCAUUGGAUGGUUAUAAGGAUUAAAUUAAGCAGUGCAUAAAAAGCAGUUAGCACUUGCUCAAUACACACACAAUUUAAGAGCAGAAUUAUAUUUUUUGGGUUUUUAAUUAUUUUUAAUGUCAAUGUUAAAUAUUAACUCCCACCUGGAAACAUAACAAAAUGAAUUCUAGACAGAGUGCAAAUGUAAUGUAGACCUUAAAGCCUAUCUAGGAAAAAUAAAUAUUUGUUUUAGGAUAGCUGAAGUUCUAAGAAUAAAAAUCAGUGGAAGGAAUUAUAAGCACCAAAAAAAAAUAAGUCUGGCCUCCUAAGAUUUAAAAAGUUAAAAGUUUUGUAUCUGAAAUAUCAUAAAUUGUAAAGGCAACCAAUAAAAUGGGAAACAUUUGUAAAAUACGUGUAAUAUAUAAAAAGCUCACGGAUUUAAAAAAUAUAUUCUAAAUUCAACAGUAAAAUGACAAAAGAUAGAAAAUGCUAUCACAUAACCAGGAAGUGGCAUUGGGGCACUUUUUCUUAAAAUGCCUGCUAUGUAUGCCCUGGAAAGGGUGCAAUCACUACAAACCAUGAACAAAUGGUCUCACUCAAGCUAAUGAGAGCUAUCACUAGAGGUUAUCUAAGGUUGGGUUUUUUUCUUCUGAAACUAAUGACAACAGUAUAUAAACUUUUUUAGCUGCUUUCCCCAUAUGAUGGUUGUGUUAUAUUCUAUAACCCCCUUCUUAUGCUGUCUGGUCUCAGCCCUCUACUUCUAAACGAGCACCAAUAGGAGGAAACUUAGACUACAACUCCUGGCCAACCACUAACAUUACCAGAGCCCUCUACUGGCCUCGCCUUCAGUUAGAGGAGGAUCCUUGAGGCAUUCUAGGGUCUUGCCUGGAAACCAUCACUCAGUUCUGUUAUUUCACUGGCCAGAAGACAGUUGCUAGCCCCAAACUAAUGCCAGAAAGGCUAAGAAAAAAUAACCUGUGUGCCUAAGAAGAGGAAAUGGGAUUGGUGAGCAUUUAGCUAGUCUCAGCCACUUUCUUGUACAAAGGACAGAAUGUAGCCAUAGAAAGUGAUUUAGUGAUUAGUGUAGAAAUUUCUGAAGAAUUUUCAACGUUACGGAAAAGUCUCAUUUUAGAGUAGUGACUCAAAAGCUUUAGAACAUGAAUCUAAUUAAGUGAAAAGUCUCAAUAGAUACGACUAAAAGUAAUAUGUUGAGCGGCGGCGCCUGGGCUUCUCCGAUGUUUAAAUGGUCUGAUUCUUGAUUUUGGCUCAGGUCAUGAUGUCAGGGUGGUGUUCAAGCCCCAGGUCUGCUUAAGAUUCUCUCUUUCUCCCUUUAUUCCUCUCCCCCAAUCCCUUUCUAAAAUAAUUAACUAAUUAAGUAAGUAAUAUAUUGAAAUAUUAAUAACUGAUAAAUGAUAACUUACAUUUAUUUUUCUGCUUUUCUUUUCCUGUGUGCAACAUGCAUGCAUUAUAUUUAUUUAAAAUUUUUUAUAGUAACAAAUCUUUCUUUUAAGAUGGAGACCUGAACCUAUCAUUAAACUCCUCUUACUGAAUUAUGGGAAACAGAAAUGCAUGGAG